AGAGUUUGAUCAUGGCUCAGAGCGAACGUUAGCGGCGCGCCUAACACAUGCAAGUCGCACGAGAAAGGGCUUCGGCCCCGGUAAAGUGGCGCACGGGUGCGUAACACGUAGGCAAUCUACCCUCAGGCGGGGGAUAACGUUCCGAAAGGAACGCUAAUACCGCGUAAGACCACGUCCAGUUCGCUGGAUGUGGCCAAAGCUGGCCUCUCCACGGAAGCUAGCGCCAGAGGAUGAGCCUGCGGCCCAUCAGCUAGUUGGUAGGGUAACGGCCUACCAAGGCGAAGACGGGUAGCUGGUCUGAGAGGACGAUCAGCCACACUGGCACUGAAACACGGGCCAGACUCCUACGGGAGGCAGCAGUGGGGAAUCUUGGUCAAUGGACGCAAGUCUGAACCAGCGACGCCGCGUGAGUGAUGAAGGCCUUCGGGUUGUAAAGCUCUGUGGGGAGAGACGAAAAAGGUAUGGUCGAACAGGCCAUGCCCUUGACGGUACCUCCUUAGCAAGCACCGGCUAACUCUGUGCCAGCAGCCGCGGUA
rnacentral:rRNA from 1 species